rnacentral:rRNA from 1 species
UACAGAGGGGGCAAGCGUUGUUCGGAGUUACUGGGCGUAAAGGGCGCGUAGGCGGCCUUCUAAGUCGAACGUGAAAUCCCCGGGCUCAACCCGGGAACUGCGUCCGAGACUGGAAGGCUCGAAUCCGGGAGAGGGAUGUGGAAUUCCAGGUGUAGCGGUGAAAUGCGUAGAUAUCUGGAGGAACAUCGGUGGCGAAGGCGGCAUCCUGGACCGGUAUUGACGCUGAGGCGCGAAAGCCAGGGGAGCAAACGGGA